UACGUAGGGUGCAAGCGUUGUCCGGAAUUAUUGGGCGUAAAGAGCUCGUAGGCGGUUUAUCGCGUCUGCUGUGAAAACUCGGGGCUUAACCCCGGGCCUGCAGUGGGUACGGGCAGACUAGAGUGCGGUAGGGGAGACUGGAAUUCCUGGUGUAGCGGUGAAAUGCGCAGAUAUCAGCAGGAACACCCGUGGCGAAGGCGGCCCCCUGGGUCGAACCUGACGCUGAGGCGCGAAGGCUAGGGGAGCGAACGGG
rnacentral:rRNA from 1 species